rnacentral:rRNA from 1 species
GACGAACGCUGGCGGCGUGCUUAACACAUGCAAGUCGUACGGUAAGGCCCUUUCGGGGGUACACGAGUGGCGCACGGGUGAGUAACACGUGAGUAACCUGCCCACAACUUUGGGAUAACGCUAGGAAACUGGUGCUAAUACUGGAUAUGUGCUCCUGCUGCAUGGUGGGGGUUGGAAAGCUCCGGCGGUUGUGGAUGGACUCGCGGCCUAUCAGCUUGUUGGUGGGGUAGUGGCCUACCAAGGCGGCGACGGGUAGCCGGCCUGAGAGGGUGACCGGCCACAUUGGGACUGAGAUACGGCCCAGACUCCUACGGGAGGCAGCAGUGGGGAAUAUUGCACAAUGGGCGCAAGCCGGAUGCAGCAACGCCGCGUGCGGGAUGACGGCCUUCGGGUUGUAAACCGCUUUCAGCAGGGACGAAGCUUUUUGUGACGGUACCUGCAGAAGAAGCACCGGCUAACUACGUG